rnacentral:rRNA from 1 species
GACGAACGCUGGCGGCGUGCUUAACACAUGCAAGUCGAGCGGUAAGGCCCUUUCGGGGGUACACGAGCGGCGAACGGGUGAGUAACACGUGGGUGACCUGCCUUUAGCUCUGGGAUAAGCCUGGGAAACUGGGUCUAAUACCGGAUAUGACUCCGCGGUGCAUGCUGUGGGGUGGAAAGCCUUGUGCGGCUGGAGAUGGGCCCGCGGCCUAUCAGCUUGUUGGUGGGGUGAUGGCCUACCAAGGCGACGACGGGUAGCCGGCCUGAGAGGGCGACCGGCCACACUGGGACUGAGACACGGCCCAGACUCCUACGGGAGGCAGCAGUGGGGAAUCUUGCGCAAU